rnacentral:misc_RNA from 1 species
GAUGAAGAACGCAGCGAAAUGCGAUAAGUAAUGUGAAUUGCAGAAUUCAGUGAAUCAUCGAGUCUUUGAACGCACAUUGCGCCCCUUGGUAUUCCGAGGGGCAUGCCUGUUCGAGCGUCAUUUCAACCCUCAAGCACAGCUUGGUCUUGGGCUUCGCCGCUAACCCGGCGGGUCUUAAAAUCAGUGGCGGUGCCGUCGGGCCCUGAGCGCAGUAAUCUCUCUCGCUAUAGGGUCCCGGCGGAUGCUGGCCAGUAACCCCCAAUUUUCUAUGGUUGACCUCGGAUCAGGUAGGGAUACCCGCUGAACUUAAGCAUAUCAAUAAGCGGAGGA